rnacentral:rRNA from 1 species
UGCAAGCGUUAUCCGGAAUGAUUGGGCGUAAAGCGUCCGCAGGUGGCAGUUCAAGUCUGCUGUCAAAGACCGGGGCUUAACUUCGGAAAGGCAGUGGAAACUGAACAGCUAGAGUAUGGUAGGGGCAGAGGGAAUUCCUGGUGUAGCGGUGAAAUGCGUAGAGAUCAGGAAGAACAUCGGUGGCGAAGGCGCUCUGCUGGACCAUAACUGACACUCAGGGACGAAAGCUAGGGGAGCGAAUGGG